AGAUGCUUAAAUGUGAAAGUUGGAUUAAUAUGUGGUUUGCUAUUGCUGCGAUCUAAUGUGUUUGUGUAACAGAGUUAGAAUUUUAUUUAGUUUUAUUGUGAAUUCUUAUAAAUUCAGCAGCGGUUAAUUUCAUGUUUUACUGGUGCCCUCAUGUGGGUUGUUUGAGAACUGCAGGCAAAAAUGUUCGAUAAGACGGGAGAUGACGCAACACAGCAGUUGCAAUGUGUACUGCACGCUGUGGGUCAUUUUUCAGCCUGCAGCAAUACAUCCACUAAAGGGUGAUUUAUUUCAUUUUUCAGCCUGCAGUAAAGAGGAAAAAUACACCAAACCAGCAUUUGUGUUUGUGCAUUUAUUCUUCGACCAGAGACUGAGCCAUUGUAGUGUUAGGGCAAAUCACAUCGCAGAGUGGAGGAGAAAGACCACAUCCGUCACAUUUGACAUGAUUAACAAAAUAAAUAGUGUACUGUUCCAUAAAAAAA